rnacentral:lncRNA from 1 species
UUGCUACUGACUGUAAACUCAGAGUUGGGUUUUGCAGUUUUUAGAUAUAUUGAGUGCUCUACAGAUGCAAAGCAGUGACCUCCUCAUCUAAAUCAGACAAAUGCAAAGAUAAGGAGAAGAUCAUGAGGAAGCCAAGAGGUGGACAAACACAAACGCCCAGAAGAGUCUUCCAGGUCAAGAACUGUCUGGAGAAAAGCCAUUGCAGUGACAUGAGAAUGUCAGAAGUAAAACCGAGACGGAGCUGAGCAGAGUUAAGCAUUCUGAUUUCAAUUCAUGAAGCAGGAAAUCUUUCUGGCAGGUCCUGGUGAGUUUCCAGUUUGGCUGCUGACAGAUAGAGAAAUGUGCUUUCUAUAGCCUCUUCCUCUCCAUCCCACGUCCACUGUGCACAUUCUUCAGAGCUGGCAAGAGUCACUGACAGGACAUGGCACCCAUGGUUUGAAGCGCCGACUUUUCUCUGCAGGUGGCCCAGAGCCAGUGAAGGACUUUCUUGAAGCACAUAGCACGCCAUGGUCAUACAACGGCGAUAUGUAGCCUGGGUGUCACUCACUGAGACACAUUUCCUCCCUCCACCCCCACCCAUCUUUCUUAAAAU